AUACGGAGGGCGCAAGCGUUGUUCGGAAUCAUUGGGCGUAAAGCGCGUGUAGGCGGCUUGGCAAGUCGGGUGUGAAAUCCCGGGGCUCAACCCCGGAACUGCACUCGAAACUGCCUGGCUGGAGUCCCGGAGAGGAGAGCGGAAUUCCCGGUGUAGAGGUGAAAUUCGUAGAUAUCGGGAGGAACACCAGCGGCGAAGGCGGCUCUCUGGACGGUGACUGACGCUGAGACGCGAAAGCGUGGGGAGCAAACGGGAUUAGAAACCCCAGUAGUCC
rnacentral:rRNA from 1 species